CCUACGGGUGGCAGCAGUGAGGAAUAUUGGUCAAUGGACGGAAGUCUGAACCAGCCAUGCCGCGUGCAGGAAGACGGCUCUAUGAGUUGUAAACUGCUUUUGUACAAGGGUAAACCUGCAUACGUGUAUUCAGCUGAAAGUACUGUACGAAUAAGGAUCGGCUAACUCCGUGCCAGCAGCCGCGGUAAUACGGAGGAUCCAAGCGUUAUCCGGAUUUAUUGGGUUUAAAGGGUGCGUAGGCGGAUUGAUAAGUUAGAGGUGAAAUCGCCGAGCUUAACUUGGGAACUGCCUCUAAUACUGUUGAGCUAGAGAGUAGAUGCGGUAGGCGGAAUGUAUGGUGUAGCGGUGAAAUGCUUAGAGAUCAUACAGAACACCGAUUGCGAAGGCAGCUUACCAAUCUAUAUCUGACGUUGAGGCACGAAAGCGUGGGGAGCAAACAGGAUUAGAUACCCCGGUAGUC
rnacentral:rRNA from 1 species